rnacentral:rRNA from 1 species
GGAUGAACGCUGGCGGCGUGCUUAACACAUGCAAGUCGAACGCACCUUCGGGUGAGUGGCGGACGGGUGAGUAACGCGUGGGAAUCUGCCCUCAGGAGGGGGAUAACGGCUGGAAACGGCCGCUAAUACCCCAUAUGCCGAGAGGUGAAACGAAUUUCGCCUGAGGAUGAGCCCGCGUCUGACUAGCUAGUUGGUGGGGUAAUGGCCCACCAAGGCGACGAUCAGUAGCUGGUCUGAGAGGAUGAUCAGCCACACUGGGACUGAGACACGGCCCAGACUCCUACGGGAGGCAGCAGUGGGGAAUUUUCCGCAAUGGGCGAAAGCCUGACGGAGCAACGCCGCGUGAGGGAUGAAGGCCUCUGGGCUGUAAACCUCUUUUCUCAAGGAAGAAGACAUGACGGUACUUGAGGAAUAAGCCACGGCUAAUUCCGUGCCAGCAGCCGGUAAUACGGGAGUGGCAAGCGUUAUCCGGAAUUAUUGGGCGUAAAGCGUCCGCAGGCGGCCCUGUAAGUCUGUCGUUAAAGCGUGGAGCUUAACUCCAUUUAAGCGAUGGAAACUACAGGGCUUGAGUGUGGUAGGGGCAGAGGGAAUUCCCGGUGUAGCGGUGAAAUGCGUAGAUAUCGGGAAGAACACCAGUGGCGAAGGCGCUCUGCUGGGCCAUAACUGACGCUCUUGGACGAAAGCCAGGGGAGCGAAAGGGAUUAGAUACCCCUGUAGUCCUGGCCGUAAACGAUGAACACUAGGUGUCGGGGGAAUCGACCCCCUCGGUGUCGUAGCCAACGCGUUAAGUGUUCCGCCUGGGGAGUACGCACGCAAGUGUGAAACUCAAAGGAAUUGACGGGGGCCCGCACAAGCGGUGGAGUAUGUGGUUUAAUUCGAUGCAACGCGAAGAACCUUACCAGGGUUUGACAUCCUGCGAAUCCCUUGGUAACUAGGGAGUGCCUUCGGGAGCGCAGAGACAGGUGGUGCAUGGCUGUCGUCAGCUCGUGUCGUGAGAUGUUGGGUUAAGUCCCGCAACGAGCGCAACCCACGUCUUUAGUUGCCAGCAUUCAGUUGGGCACUCUAGAGAGACCGCCGGUGAUAAACCGGAGGAAGGUGUGGAUGACGUCAAGUCAUCAUGCCCCUUACAUCCUGGGCUACACACGUACUACAAUGCUACGGACAAAGGGCAGCAAGCUCGCGAGAGUUAGCAAAUCCCAUAAACCGUGGCUCAGUUCAGAUCGUAGGCUGCAACUCGCCUACGUGAAGGAGGAAUCGCUAGUAAUCGCAGGUCAGCAUACUGCGGUGAAUACGUUCCCGGGCCUUGUCG